UACGGAGGGUGCAAGCGCUAUCCGGAUUCACUGGGUUUAAAGGGUGCGUAGGUGGGCAGGUAAGUCAGUGGUGAAAUCUCCGGGCUUAACUCGGAAACUGCCGUUGAUACUAUCUGUCUUGAAUAUCGUGGAGGUUAGCGGAAUAUGUCAUGUAGCGGUGAAAUGCUUAGAUAUGACAUAGAACACCCAUUGCGAAGGCAGCUAACUACACGAUCAUUGACACUGAGGCACGAAAGCGUGGGGAGCAAACAGG
rnacentral:rRNA from 1 species